rnacentral:lncRNA from 1 species
GGGGGGGGGCCCAGGGGGGGCCCGCAGCGGCCCCAACGGCUUGAAUGGGGCGGCCGCGGGCUCUGCGCAUGCGCCGCCAGCCCAACGGCCCACGCGGCCCCGCCCCGCUAUUCUUAAAAAGGGGCCGGGGCUACUCUUAAAAGGGCAACGGCGCGGCUUCACGGGGGCCACGGCGCGCCUUAAAAGGGCAACGGCGCUUAUUAAAAGGGCGAGUCCUUUUUCUUAAAAGGGCAAUGCCAUCUCUUAAAAGGGCAAUGCCAUCUCUUAAAAGGGUAACGCCGCGUCUUAAAAGGGUAACUCCCAGUAGUGCAAAGGGUGAGCCCCUCCCUCUCCCACCCAUUUUUUAUUUGUUUUUGUUUUAAGCCUUUAGCACACGGAAAAAGGAGAAGCAGGCACCUUCGUGUGACCUCCGGGUUUUAUUUUGGUUUCGGGGAUGGCCUCUUCUCGCAGAUAACCUUGAUAGGAGCAGAGGGAACGGCCUCGAGGUGUGCCAGGGCAGGUUCAGGUUGUAAAUAAAGAGAUAUUUCUUCCCAAAAAGAGCAGCCGGGCGUUGGGACGGGUUGCCCAGGGAGGUGGUGGGGUCACCGUCCCCGGGGGUGCUCAAGGAGAGCUUGGACGUGGUGCUUGGGGUCAGGGCUCGGUGGUGGUUGGGGAUGGAUGGAGCAGAGGAUCCUGGAGGGCUUCUCCAGCCCCCAUGGGUGGGCUCGGCACCUGCCCCAGGCCACGUUUCCCCCGGCCACACGUCCCCAGUGGUGGCCUUGGGGCUCCCCAGACCCCUACCACGGCUGCUUUUGGGGUCUUCCCUCUCCUGCUGGGGAAACCGAGGCAGAGCGGGGUGGCGGAGCCCCGGGUUUAGGAUCCGCAGCCGCCCGGGAACAAACCCUCUCCCCAGGCUGCCUGUUCCCGAAGAGAGGCUCUUUAUUCGUGAGCUUAAUUAGUGUUUUUUUUUUUCCCCAUGCAUAUGCACGCGCCCGUGGGACCUGGAAAAGCUCCCCUGGAAAACCAGCCGUGCGGGCGGGGUGCAGGAGCAAACCCCACAGCCUGGGGGAACACCUCCCGCUUCCCCGCCUCGGGCCACGGCUUCUGCUGCUCCCCCAAAACGCCCGGGAGAGCCCCGAGCAGGGCUCUUGGCUGGCCUCAGCCUCGUAGGGCCGCUGGGAGGAGGUGGAGGCACGGCUGGGGGGUCACAGUUUGUUUAUUUGGGGGUGUUUUGGGUGGGUGCGUGCACCCCGGUGAGGCUGGCACGCUGCGGGGAUGGGGCAGAGGGGCUGCGGGGUGUGCACAAGGGGGACAGGAAUUGGGGCUGCAUCCUGCUGGCCUCAAGCAUCCCGUUAACCCCGGGGCAUCCCAUUAAAAUUGGGGCAUCCCAUUAACCUCGGGGAAUCCCAUUAAACCCGGGGCAUCCCAUUAGCCUUGGG